AGAGUUUGAUCAUGGCUCAGGAUGAACGCUGGCGGCGUGCUUAACACAUGCAAGUCGAACGAACCUUCGGGUUAGUGGCGGACGGGUGAGUAACGCGUGGGAAUCUGCCCUCAGGAGGGGGAUAACGACUGGAAACGGUCGCUAAUACCCCAUAUGCCGAGAGGUGAAAGGAAUUUCGCCUGAGGAUGAGCCCGCGUCUGAUUAGCUAGUUGGUGAGGUAAGAGCUCACCAAGGCGACGAUCAGUAGCUGGUCUGAGAGGAUGAUCAGCCACACUGGGACUGAGACACGGCCCAGACUCCUACGGGAGGCAGCAGUGGGGAAUUUUCCGCAAUGGGCGAAAGCCUGACGGAGCAACGCCGCGUGAGGGAUGAAGGCCUCUGGGCUGUAAACCUCUUUUCUCAAGGAAGAAGAUCUGACGGUACUUGAGGAAUAAGCCACGGCUAAUUCCGUGCCAGCAGCCGCGGUAAUACGGGAGUGGCAAGCGUUAUCCGGAAUCAUUGGGCGUAAAGCGUCCGCAGGUGGCUUUGUAAGUCUGCUGUUAAAGCGUGGAGCUUAACUCCAUUUCAGCGGUGGAAACUACAAAGCUUGAGUGUGGUAGGGGCAGAGGGAAUUCCCGGUGUAGCGGUGAAAUGCGUAGAUAUCGGGAAGAACACCAGUGGCGAAGGCGCUCUGCUGGGCCAUAACUGACACUCAUGGACGAAAGCCAGGGGAGCGAAAGGGAUUAGAUACCCCUGUAGUCCUGGCCGUAAACGAUGAACACUAGGCGUCGGGGGAAUCGACCCCCUCGGUGUCGUAGCCAACGCGUUAAGUGUUCCGCCUGGGGAGUACGCACGCAAGUGUGAAACUCAAAGGAAUUGACGGGGGCCCGCACAAGCGGUGGAGUAUGUGGUUUAAUUCGAUGCAACGCGAAGAACCUUACCAGGGUUUGACAUCCUGCGAACCCCUGAGAAAUCGGGGGGUGCCUUCGGGAACGCAGUGACAGGUGGUGCAUGGCUGUCGUCAGCUCGUGUCGUGAGAUGUUGGGUUAAGUCCCGCAACGAGCGCAACCCACGUCUUUAGUUGCCAGCAUUCAGUUGGGCACUCUAGAGAGACCGCCGGUGAUAAACCGGAGGAAGGUGUGGAUGACGUCAAGUCAUCAUGCCCCUUACAUCCUGGGCUACACACGUACUACAAUACUACGGACAAAGGGCAGCAAACUCGCGAGAGCAAGCAAAUCCCAUAAACCGUGGCUCAGUUCAGAUCGUAGGCUGCAACUCGCCUACGUGAAGGAGGAAUCGCUAGUAAUCGCAGGUCAGCAUACUGCGGUGAAUACGUUCCCGGGCCUUGUACACACCGCCCGUCACACCAUGGAAGUUAGCCACGCCCGAAGUCGUUACUCCAACCCUUGUGGAGGAGGAUGCCGAAGGUGGGGCUGAUGACUGGGGUGAAGUCGUAACAAGGUAACC
rnacentral:rRNA from 1 species